rnacentral:lncRNA from 1 species
GUUAACCCUGACCCUGACCCCUAACCCUAGACUACACAUCUCAUACCAGUAGGUUAACCCUGACCCCUGACUUUAGACUACACAUCUCAUACCAGUAGGUUAACCCUGACCCCUAACCCUAGACUACACAUCCCAUACCAGUAGGUUAACCCUGACCCCUAACCCUAGACUACACAUCUCAUACCAGUAGGUUAACCCUGACCCCUGACCCCUAACCCUAGACUACACAUCCCAUACCAGUAGGUUAACCCUGACCCUGACCCCUAACCCUAGACUACACAUCUCAUACCAGUAGGUUAACCCUGACCCCUGACCCUAGACUACACAUCUCAUACCAGUAGGUUAACCCUGACCCCUGACUUUAGACUACACAUCUCAUACCAGUAGGUUAACCCUGACCCCUAACCCUAGACUACACAUCUCAUACCAGUAAGUUAUGUACAAGCGUAACUGGUAGGAUCUGAACCCCAACUCGGAAAACCAAAGUCUUA